AUGUGUGAGAGUAAGCAGGAGGGAGGGAUGGGGUUUCGAGAUAUGGAAGCUUUCAACCAAGCAUUACUUGCCAAGCAAGCUUGGAGACUAUUGCAGGUCCCUUCUUCUCUGUGUGGGCGUGUUCUUAAGGCAUGUUACUAUGAUCAUGGCAAAAUUCUCAAUGCGAUAUGUCCAAGUGGGGCAUCAUAUACAUUCAGAAGCAUUUUGCAUGGU
rnacentral:rRNA from 1 species